UGCAGUCGUACGCUUCUUUUUCCACCGGAGCUUGCUCCACCGGAAAAAGAAGAGUGSCGAACGGGUGAGUAACACGUGGGUAACCUGCCCAUCAGAAGGGGAUAACACUUGGAAACAGGUGCUAAUACCGUAUAACAAUCGAAACCGCAUGGUUUUGAUUUGAAAGGCGCUUUCGGGUGUCGCUGAUGGAUGGACCCGCGGUGCAUUAGCUAGUUGGUGAGGUAACGGCUCACCAAGGCCACGAUGCAUAGCCGACCUGAGAGGGUGAUCGGCCACAUUGGGACUGAGACACGGCCCAAACUCCUACGGGAGGCAGCAGUAGGGAAUCUUCGGCAAUGGACGAAAGUCUGACCGAGCAACGCCGCGUGAGUGAAGAAGGUUUUCGGAUCGUAAAACUCUGUUGUUAGAGAAGAACAAGGAUGAGAGUAACUGUUCAUCCCUUGACGGUAUCUAACCAGAAAGCCACGGCUAACUACGUGCCAGCAGCCGCGGUAAUACGUAGGUGGCAAGCGUUGUCCGGAUUUAUUGGGCGUAAAGCGAGCGCAGGCGGUUUCUUAAGUCUGAUGUGAAAGCCCCCGGCUCAACCGGGGAGGGUCAUUGGAAACUGGGAGACUUGAGUGCAGAAGA
rnacentral:rRNA from 1 species